GCUGGUUCGAGUCCGACGGGACCCUCCGCGGGUCCGCGGGCCAAGGCUUUGGGUGUCAGUUUGGGUCAGUAAUCGUAGCGGAAAUGCAGACAACGUGAAAUCUGACGAGCAUUGUAAACAGAGGUGGAUGUUUUGGAGAGCUGGACGAAGACAUGUCGUCUGUUUGAACCUCCAGGAUGUUGUGUGAAGUCCUGCUGUCAUCGUUAUGGUUCCUGUUCGUGAUCUUCUGGGUGGAGACGAUAAGUGUGUGGCUGUUCCUCUCCUUGUUCUACCAGGACCUGGCCUUUUACCACUGGGGAGAUGGGGUCCUUGCAGAUGAUCCUGGACAGAUGAUCUACAUGCUGAGCAGAGUCGACACCCGAGUGGAGACGCGGACCCGGACGCAGACCUGAGACGGGACAAGCUCACGAUGUGCUGUGAAAUGACUCUCAGAGGAGGGAGGGCUGCUGCAGUCAUCCGUCUGAAGAACAAAUGAUAAAAGGCAGUUGCUGUUUUGUCUCGAUUUUUUUGUCUUUGCCUCUCAUACACUGCUAUGCACGGUCCCACUUUUAAUCAGAGGAGGAGGAGGAGCGCGGCGCAAGAGAAGGUGCAGUGAUGUUGAGGGAGGCCUUCAGUCUUGUGUGCGUCGGUUGCUACUGCUGCAACAUUUCGAAUUUUCGGUGUGUGGUGGAACAGGAUGAAUGUAAGAAACGAUGAGUUCAAAUCAUGUUUUUCCUCUCUCUCUUUGCUGGAGUUGGAUACUUGCACUGUUUCACAUCCUAUGCAACUACAUUUGUUGUCAUCCGAAGCUUCAUUUGUGUUUUUAAAGAUCAGAUUGCAGUAAAUCUGUGACGCUCGAUGAAUGUCCAUAAAAUUAACAGAUGAUGAAGCUGUUGUUUUUUGGUUUUUUUUUGUUUUUGCCAGAAGAAUCAGUUUGGACUGUAAAUGAACCGGAAACGUGUUUAACUCUGGAAAAAUGCCUUUACUUCACUCACAUAUCUAACAGCCUUUUACCACCUCAGUCGGUGGUCAGCGUGUGCAUUUUCUGUCAGAAAGGUGCGUCAUGGAAAGGUUUGACCUUUUUUUAAACGGUGAAGACAGUGUAAAGCUGUAAAAAGUCUUUCUAGCCUGAUGAGGUGGAUGUCCCAGUAAUUUGAGGAAAAUACGUAUAACUGAAAGUCUGCAGUGCUUUUUAACAAAGUGGUUCUUUUGUCCUUUCAAGUUGACUGCAUGAUGCUUUAAUUAACACUUCACUGUUACGUCCAGUAAAAUAAAUGAAAAAGGGAAAGUAUAUUUUU